rnacentral:rRNA from 1 species
UGCCUGAUGGAGGGGGAUAACUACUGGAAACGGUGGCUAAUACCGCAUAACGUCGCAAGACCAAAGAGGGGGACCUUCGGGCCUCUUGCCAUCAGAUGUGCCCAGAUGGGAUUAGCUUGUUGGUGAGGUAACGGCUCACCAAGGCGACGAUCCCUAGCUGGUCUGAGAGGAUGACCAGCCACACUGGAACUGAGACACGGUCCAGACUCCUACGGGAGGCAGCAGUGGGGAAUAUUGCACAAUGGGCGCAAGCCUGAUGCAGCCAUGCCGCGUGUAUGAAGAAGGCCUUCGGGUUGUAAAGUACUUUCAGCGGGGAGGAAGGUGUUGUGGUUAAUAACCACAGCAAUUGACGUUACCCGCAGAAGAAGCACCGGCUAACUCCGUGCCAGCAGCCGCGGUAAUACGGAGGGUGCAAGCGUUAAUCGGAAUUACUGGGCGUAAAGCGCACGCAGGCGGUCUGUCAAGUCGGAUGUGAAAUCCCCGGGCUCAACCUGGGAACUGCAUUCGAAACUGGCAGGCUUGAGUCUUGUAGAGGGGGGUAGAAUUCCAGGUGUAGCGGUGAAAUGCGUAGAGAUCUGGAGGAAUACCGGUGGCGAAGGCGGCCCCCUGGACAAAGACUGACGCUCAGGUGCGAAAGCGUGGGGAGCAAACAGGAUUAGAUACCCUGGUAGUCCACGCCGUAAACGAUGUCUACUUGGAGGUUGUGCCCUUGAGGCGUGGCUUCCGGAGCUAACGCGUUAAGUAGACCGCCUGGGGAGUACGGCCGCAAGGUUAAAACUCAAAUGAAUUGACGGGGGCCCGCACAAGCGGUGGAGCAUGUGGUUUAAUUCGAUGCAACGCGAAGAACCUUACCUGGUCUUGACAUCCACAGAACUUUCCAGAGAUGGAUUGGUGCCUUCGGGAACUGUGAGACAGGUGCUGCAUGGCUGUCGUCAGCUCGUGUUGUGAAAUGUUGGGUUAAGUCCCGCAACGAGCGCAACCCUUAUCCUUUGUUGCCAGCGGUCCGGCCGGGAACUCAAAGGAGACUGCCAGUGAUAAACUGGAGGAAGGUGGGGAUGACGUCAAGUCAUCAUGGCCCUUACGACCAGGGCUACACACGUGCUACAAUGGCGCAUACAAAGAGAAGCGACCUCGCGAGAGCAAGCGGACCUCAUAAAGUGCGUCGUAGUCCGGAUUGGAGUCUGCAACUCGACUCCAUGAAGUCGGAAUCGCUAGUAAUCGUGGAUCAGAAUGCCACGGUGAAUACGUUCCCGGGCCUUGUACACACCGCCCGUCACACCAUGGGAGUGGGUUGCAAAAGAAGUAGGUAGCUUAACCUUCGGGAGGGCGCUUACCACUUUGUGAUUCAUGACUGGGGUGAAGUCGUAACAAGGUAACCGUAGGGGAACCUGC